rnacentral:rRNA from 1 species
GUCCUAGCUGUAAACGGUGCACGUUUGCUGUAAGAGGAAUCGACCCCUUUUGUGGCGAAGCUAACGCGUUAAACGUGCCGCCUGGGAAGUACGGUAGCAAGAUUAAAACUCAAAGAAAUUGACGGGGGCCUGCACAAGCGGUGGAGUAUGUGGCUUAAUUCGAUGCAACGCGAAGAACCUUACCUGGCCUUGACAUGUACGUAGUAGAAGGGUGAAAGCCUGACGAGGUAGCAAUACCAGCGUACACAGGUGCUGCAUGACUGUCGU